CCUACGGGGGCCAGCAGUGGGGAAUAUUGGACAAUGGGCGAAAGCCUGAUCCAGCCAUGCCGCGUGUGUGAAGAAGGCCUUCGGGUUGUAAAGCACUUUCAGUGGGGAAGAAAGCCUUGGGGCUAAUACCCUCGAGGAAGGACAUCACCCACAGAAGAAGCACCGGCUAACUCCGUGCCAGCAGCCGCGGUAAUACGGAGGGUGCGAGCGUUAAUCGGAAUUACUGGGCGUAAAGCGCGCGUAGGCGGUCUGAUAAGCCGGUUGUGAAAGCCCCGGGCUCAACCUGGGAACGGCAUCCGGAACUGUCAGGCUAGAGUGCAGGAGAGGAAGGUAGAAUUCCCGGUGUAGCGGUGAAAUGCGUAGAGAUCGGGAGGAAUACCAGUGGCGAAGGCGGCCUUCUGGACUGACACUGACGCUGAGGUGCGAAAGCGUGGGUAGCAAACAGGAUUAGAUACCCGUGUAGUC
rnacentral:rRNA from 1 species